AUUUUUUAGUGGAUCUGCUUCAAAAGUCAAUUAAUUAGGGUUCAACCAAAUAGCUCCUAUCCCAAAAUUUGCAGAAGCAAUUUCAAUGAACCCGAUCUCCUACCAAUGAUAUUGUUAAUCUUUAGUUUUACUUUUAGCCACCACACAGAACCUUCAUCAAAGCUCAUUGUCACUACACUAUCCGCAGAGAGACAAAACCCUCAAAUUUUCGUAAUUAAGGUUCCUAAUCUCCAUGGAAAUCCACUCGUAAGUGUAGUACCAAGGGUUUAUUCACUGAUUUCGGCUAUGCUGUUUUAGCUAAUCUUGAUCCUCAAUAUGGCCUAUAUGGAAGUGUUGUCCCUCCUUUGAUAUAUUCUGUGAUGGGGACUUCACAAGAACUAGCCAUCGGUCCAGUAGCUGUGGUGUCGCUGCUCAUAUCAUCAAUGAUCUCAAAACUAGUUGAUCCUGCUGCUGAUCCUGUUUCCUACAGAAAACUUGUUUUCACUGCCACAUUCUUCGCCAGCACCUUGCAAGCUCUUUUUGGAAUUCUUAGGGUGUGAAUCUGCAGUAUCAAAUAUUGUAAUGGCAAUAACUGUGUAGAGAUUGGUCUUUUGGUUGCUGUAAGUGACACUAUUUUAUUUAUUAUUUAUAUUUAUCAUAAGGCUAAUGAAAAUGGAAUUUGGUUGCAAAAAUUAAAGAAUUAAAUAAUAUUAAUAUUUAAGAACAGAAGCAAGUUGGAACUCCUGGUUUAAGGUAAAUCUUAAAAAUCCAGAUGUUUUAUGUUGUUUUCUUUUGUACUUUCAACUUUCAUCAACUCUUAGCAAUGGAUUAAUCUCUCAUCCGCCGUGGAUCCUGCCAUAUCCACCGUAUAUGGUGGACCAGACGGGUAAUGGGAUGGCUAUGGCGGCUGCACCCAUGCAGCCACCAUCUAGCUAUUCCUAUAUGGGUGGUGAUUAUGAUUCCAAUUUGGAUUGUCAGAUGAACCCGUACAACAAUACGGGUUCGAGUGACUAUCAAGUACUGGAAUCUGCACCGCAUGGAAUCCGUCAUAGAUUACUAUGGUGGUGUCUCCCUACACCAGUCAAUUUCCGGAUGUGGGCAAUAAUUUUGCUCCACAUUUCAUGCCUCUAGCUCCGGUUACCCCGAUCAGUUUUCGUAUAAUCUGGCGGUUAACUAUGCGGCUGGUGGUGGUGACGAACAACGGUUAAUGAGGUUGCGUUCUUCGGCUACUAAAGAAGGUAGGAAGAAACGAAUGGCAAGAUAGUGCCGGACUUACUUCUCCCACCACCACUCUAGACAAAGUCAAAAUAAUCAACAUAAUCGUGUGGCGGAUUCUGAUCACCAUCCACAGGCAAUGCUGGUUGAUGAUAACUGCUCUGGAAAAUCUCAUGUAGGAAACGGGUUGUACUGGCCGUCCACCGCCACCCUUCCACCACCACCACCACACAUGGAAGUUCCUCAUCGAACAUCCUCCAGACCGCAUCAGUCCAGUGACCGUCUAUCAAAACAAACUUCCUCAGACAAGCUUCAGGGAUUCAAUACUGACAAGAAUUUGAAGUUUCUGCUCCAAAAAGUAUUGAAGAAAGUGAUGUUGGAAGUCUUGGGAGGAUUGUGAUGCCUAAGAAAGAAGCCGAGAGUCACCUCCUGGAUCUUAACUCAAGGGAUGGAAUCACCAUUCCUAUGGAAGAUAUCGGGACUUCGCAAGUGUGGAAUAUGCGUUAUAGGUAUAUAUACACCGUUGUGUUGUAAAAGUUUAUGUUUAUUCACACUUUGUUUUAUCGAUUUGAUGCCAUAAUUAAGAACACAAAAUACCAACACUUAGGUUGUGCAUCAAACUAAAUUUCUUUCUUUGUGCUCAAUUUGAAUUGGGUGUUGUACCCUAUGCUUUAGUUAUUUACCUUCAUAAUUAGCAAGC